UACGGAGGGUGCAAGCGUUAUCCGGAUUUACUGGGUUUAAAGGGUGCGUAGGCGGACUUUUAAGUCAGGGGUGAAAUCCCGGGGCUCAACCCCGGAACUGCCUUUGAUACUAUUGGUCUUGAAUGUUGUGGAGGUGGGCGGAACGGGUCAUGUAGCGGUGAAAUGCAUAGAUAUGACCCGGAACACCGAUUGCGAAGGCAGCCCGCUACGCAACGAUUGACGCUGAGGCACGAAAGCGUGGGGAGCGAACAGGG
rnacentral:rRNA from 1 species